ACGUGGGACAGACUAAUAUUAACCAUUGUGUUCUUUCCUGAGGCUGCAGCAUCGAGAGGGCAGAAAGAAAACAAGACAACCAUCCUGAUUAUUCUGAGUAGGAUGAAGUAUGGAGCUCCUUGGGGAGAAUGAGCUAAGAAAGCAGACCCACGGUUCAGGAAGCUAAAUCAGUCACAGUAAGAGCGUGAACCCGAGCCACGAGGACAACAGGAAAUUCGGAGGCUCCAGUCAAGGAGACACAUACAUUACGAAGAGGAGGGGACACUCCAGAUUCGCAAAUGCUGAGGCCUGGGUGUGGAGGGGAAGAAGAGGAAGAGCAACAGAAACCCAAGAAGUUUGGUGGAGGAGAGGAGGAAGCACGGAAACACUCUUGCUUUGAUGGUGAAAAGUUUGCGUGACUGUGAUUUUUUUUGGUGCCGGGGAUCAUGAUUGUGAUGGUUUAGGGCAGGGUAAUGAAAGCCUGAGAUAAGCAAACUCCUGUGAGAGGGAAGAUAGUGUGGCUAAAAAAACAGAAGAGGAUAAAGACCCCAAGGAGACAAAGAAGCAAGAGAACGAGAAAGAGAAAACUUGGCAACAAGGAAACGACCUUCUGUGUAAGUCAGCUUUCUAUCAAAAAGACGAAAUAUAUGAAAUAAGUCAAACUGAAGGGAAGACAGGUUAGACUUGGCUCAUGGUGUCAGAGGGGUUAGUCCAUGGUGUCUUGAUCCAUUCCUCUGAGCCUAUGCAGGACAUUACCACUUGGUGGGAGUGUGCGGUGGCAGAAGUUGCUCACUUCAUAAUGUCUGAGAAGCAAAGAGAGACAGACAGACAGAGAGAGACAGACAAACAGACAGAGAGAGAGAGGUCCCAGUGUUAUAGGCAGCUGAGUUAGAAGUAUUAUAGGCCAUCAGACAAGGCUGGGCCCUCAAAGGAGCCAGUGCAGAAGAUCAGAUACCUUGCAACUGCAGGGAAGACAGACACCUGCUCAGUGGGCCAGACCUCAAGACUAAAGACAAAUCAAACUUUGCACCCACAAACUUCCUAAGGGUAUUCAAUAGGAAUUGAUAUUCUAAAUAGGUCUCUAUCAUCCUGAGGAAGCUAAGAGUCACUAACUCAAGCCCUUAUAGGAAGAGUUACUGCUCUUUAAGCAUGCGUGUUUGUUAUGUCACUCUCCUCCCCAUUUGUCCUCGAUUUAAUCAGCUUUGCUUGAGCAAUUAAUCUCAUUGGUCAGUCAUAGUUCUGUCCCACCUCAGCCCACAUUGUGAGUUCCCAUGUUA